CAGGGUAUCGACCUCGUCGCCGGCGGCCGUAACAAGAGGACCAAGCGCACCGCGCCAAAGUCGGACGAUGUCUACCUCAAGCUUCUGGUGAAGCUCUACCGCUUCCUGGUGAGGAGGACCAAGAGCCAGUUCAAUGCCGUGAUCCUGAAGCGCCUCUUCAUGAGCAAGACCAACCGCCCGCCGCUCUCGCUUUGUCGCCUCGUCAAGUUCAUGGACGGCAAGGAUAACCAAAUCGCUGUGGUCGUGGGCACCAUAACAGAUGACAAGAGAGUUUACGAGGUGCCGGCGAUCAAGGUGGCAGCGCUCAGGUUCACUGAGACGGCAAGGGCCCGCAUUGUGAAUGCCGGUGGAGAAUGCCUCACCUUUGACCAGCUGGCCCUUCGUGCUCCUCUUGGUCAGAACACGGUAAUUUCUGCUGCCCACUUAUGUUCUCAUCCUCACUCGUCACUAAGUUUGUCUACAUACGACCAUUGCUAUGGAUUACAAUGUUUUCUAUACUUCUAA
rnacentral:rRNA from 1 species